UACAGAGGGUGCAAGCGUUAAUCGGAAUUACUGGGCGUAAAGCGUGCGUAGACGGUUAUGUAAGUCGGGUGUGAAAGCCCCGGGCUCAACCUGGGAAUGCCAUUCGAGACUGCAUAGCUAGGGUGCGGAAGAGGGAAGCGGAAUUUCCGGUGUAGCGGUGAAAUGCGUAGAUAUCGGAAGGAACACCAGUGGCGAAAGCGGCUUCCUGGUCCAGCACCGACGUUCAAGCACGAAAGCGUGGGGAGCAAACAGG
rnacentral:rRNA from 1 species